CUCAAUCCCAACUUCACCACAAAGUAUGAGGAGGCUAGCAUGAGGAGCAAGGAGUAACAAGGCUUAGGAUCAGCCACAAUCAUCAAGGAUUCACCCAAGUCAAGGUUGAGCAGUGAUGACGGCGGACGGUAUUGAGCAUAGACGAUGAAGAUCCUUCGGUGGAAUAGUACUCGGAUGCGCCGUGUCUCCAUACACGACGUUAUCUGCUCUUGACUCUUCCGCUGCAAAGUAAAAGUCGAGUUUACAAUCUUUGUAUCAUGCACUCUGAUAUAGAUAAAUUCGAGUUAUUUCAGUUCAAGUUUCAGUUGUGCCACAGUUUUCCCCUUUCUUCCCCGCUUCUUUCAUCCUCCCCUAGUCGCGAUCAACCGGACUUUCUAUCCUUAGAAAGUGCGGUCGUGACAUAAAAAAUGCUCCAGACAAUCUCAAACUUACAUCACCAGAUAUUCAGAGAGAUAUUAUAAAUGCAUUUGCUGUUGAGAUAACGAAAGCUAUUGUACAUGAUAUGAGAAGUGGAUUUUUCUGCAUAUUAGUUGAUGAGUGUCGAGAUGUAUCUGUCAAAGAGCAAAUGGGUGUUGUGGUGCGAUAUGUGGACAAGAAUGGAUGUGUUAUAGAAUGUUUUCUUGGUGUUGUUCAUGUUAGUGAUACAACUGCAACCUCACUUGAGAAAGCACUUGAUUAUUUGUUAUCUACUUAUGAUUUAAGUAUAUCUAGUUUGAGAGGUCAAGGAUAUGAUGGCGCAAGCAACAUGAGAGGAGAAUUCAAUGGGUUGAAGAGUUUGAUACUCAAGAGAAAUUCCAGUGCUUAUUAUGUACAUUGCUUUGCUCAUCAGCUUUAGCUCACGAUUGUUGAUGUUGCUAAAAAACAUAAAAUUGUCGGAUCUUUUUAUAAUUCUAUCUCUCGUUUGUGUAAUACUGUUGGAGGUUCUUGUAAGCGCAGAGAUAUACUUCGGGAGAAACAGAGAGAGAAUAUUAUUAAAGAGAUUGCAAGUGAUGAAAUAAGCACAUGAAGAGGACUAAAUCAAGAAAUGUCAUUGAAGCGACCUGGAGAUACUCGUUGGAGUUCACAUUACGGUACUCUUGUCAACUUGAUACAUUUAUAUUAUUCUAUUGUUGAUGUUCUUGAGUAUGUUGGGGAGAAUGGUCAUGACGAUUCAAUAAGGGCUGAAGCUGAUGAUGUGCUAGAAAUUAUAAAUAGUUUUGAGUUUGUCUUUGUGUUACAUCUUAUGAAGCAAAUCUUGGGAAUCACACAUGAACUCUCCCAAGUGCUACAAAAGAAAGAUCAAGAUAUUGUUAAUGCGAUGAAUCUUGUCAAGUAGCAAAAUCACGUCUGCAAAUAAUGAAGGAAAAAGAUUGGGAUGUA